rnacentral:lncRNA from 1 species
GGAACUGCAUAUGUAUAAAGGUGGAUUAAAAAAUCCAAGCUGCAAUGUCGACAUAAGAAAUAUACAACAGGAGUUCAAACCACAUAAUUGUCAUACAUCCAUAACAUUGAAACAUGUCCCAUAAAGCAAUGAAUGCUUAUCAAAACACAGUUGAAGUAGGUUAUAUUGUGAAAUAACAGUAAAUAUAGAGCAUAUAGAAUGUGUUAAGUAUCCUAGUUGGUGGAGUUCCUUUGACAGCAUUGGUUUGAAUGUAAGAAAUAGAUAAGCUUUGGCUUUAAUCAUAGGAAGAAAGAUAACAUGGACAGAUGUGGAAGGACGAGCACAUGGGAGCAUUAGGGAUCAUGCAUGUUGGGACACGGUCACCUUUAUAGGCAUGCAAUUUCAAAUAGCAAAAAGAGUAAGUGAAAAUGCAAUUAUGAAUUACUGUGUGACAAACUUACUUAUGGAGUCGUCAUCACUGAUGCUUGAUAGUACUCGCAAGAAGUCAUGUCCAGCAAUAAGAGUUUCCGCCAAAUAUGGAUUGUACUGAAACUGUUAUGACAUGGGCAAUUGUUAACUGAUAAGCUAUUUGUUACAUUAGCAUACAGUUAAAUGCUUGUCAGAUUAGCAUACAGUCAAUGAAACAUAUGUACAACGAGCUGUAAACAUGUAACAUUUCCCAUGUAUCACCAUCUAAAUGCUUGCACUUAACUUCAUUUUAUUACUUGCUGCAAUUUCACUUUUCCUGUUUGUACUUUCCACACAUGUUCAUCGUACAACUUACUAACUUCCCCUUUCCUGUUGAAUUGCCAGACAUACAUUCAAUUUUUAUUACAUUAACUUAAAAACAUACAAAACAUCUAAACUAAUUAGUCCCAUUGUUAUUAUACAAGCACAAGAAAUUAUGAUAUCAUUUUCAAAAAUUCUGUGUGAUUCACAUCUGACUUGUCACUUCGUAGAUGCUUCUACAAAGUUGCAGCUGAAGGCAUAGUCAGCCAGAAGAUAAAGAAAAGGAAAUAUGGCAGACACUUCUCCAAAGUUGCAGCCGAAGGCAUAGUCAGCCUGAAGAUAAAAGAAACGGAAAUAUGGCAAACACACAGAGCAAACCACAAGUUUCUCAUCAAUCAUACAGCUUUAAAUGGGUCAUGUUCAGCUGCUAGAGUAUAAUCCCUAAAUCAUUUUCAAUAUUUUUUUUCCCCUUUACUCCACUAUUUUCUACUUCUCUAUAGGAAAUCUGACUUCCCACCACAUUAUUCGCAGCAACAAUAUUGAACUCAAUUAUUUCAGGUUCAGCUGCCACUAGGUUGAAUUUCUGUUGGCGAAAUCCCUCUCUCUUACAAUUUCAAUACACGUGUUUAUUAACAUAAAAAUAAUAGUAAAAAACUCCUUUAUAUUACCACAUUAUUCAUAAAAUUUCCAGAAAUUUAAUUUAAAAAUUUACGCCCUGCACUCUCAUAUCUUGCCAUUAUCCAUAUGAAAUCUAAUUUCACACCAAUGAAAUCUAAUUUCGCACCAACUAUAUUAUCAGCUACAAAUGAUUCACGUUACAAAUCUCACAUUAAAAUUUCACUAACCUUAAUGAUGGUUUACACAAUCCUUUCCAUUUCUUCAAUACGACCACAACAAAUCCACAAGUCACCACAAUCGUCUUCGAAAAUUUAAUCCGGCGUCGCUACUGCAGCUGUAGUCACACACAAUUAUGAAACUGGUGGUUGCUUUAGGGAAAUCGCUCACGUCAGGCCAAAUACGGUUAAGGAUUUGCAGAACCC